AACAAAUAAGGUGAUGAGGUUCCACCUAUUUAACUGCCAGUGAUUACUGGAUGAUGACUUCUAUUUUUAA
rfam:Methanosphaera stadtmanae DSM 3091, complete genome.